rnacentral:rRNA from 1 species
ACGCUGGCGGCAGGCCUAACACAUGCAAGUCGAGCGGUAGCACGGGAGAGCUUGCUCUCUGGGUGACGAGCGGCGGACGGGUGAGUAAUGUCUGGGGAUCUGCCUGAUGGAGGGGGAUAACUACUGGAAACGGUAGCUAAUACCGCAUAACGUCGCAAGACCAAAGAGGGGGACCUUCGGGCCUCUUGCCAUCAGAUGAACCCAGAUGGGAUUAGCUAGUAGGUGGGGUAAUGGCUCACCUAGGCGACGAUCCCUAGCUGGUCUGAGAGGAUGACCAGCCACACUGGAACUGAGACACGGUCCAGACUCCUACGGGAGGCAGCAGUGGGGAAUAUUGCACAAUGGGCGCAAGCCUGAUGCAGCCAUGCCGCGUGUAUGAAGAAGGCCUUCGGGUUGUAAAGUACUUUCAGCGAGGAGGAAGGCAUUAAGGUUAAUAACCUUGGUGAUUGACGUUACUCGCAGAAGAAGCACCGGCUAACUCCGUGCCAGCAGCCGCGGUAAUACGGAGGGUGCAAGCGUUAAUCGGAAUUACUGGGCGUAAAGCGCACGCAGGCGGUUUGUUAAGUCGGAUGUGAAAUCCCCGGGCUCAACCUGGGAACUGCAUUCGAAACUGGCAAGCUUGAGUCUUGUAGAGGGGGGUAGAAUUCCAGGUGUAGCGGUGAAAUGCGUAGAGAUCUGGAGGAAUACCGGUGGCGAAGGCGGCCCCCUGGACAAAGACUGACGCUCAGGUGCGAAAGCGUGGGGAGCAAACAGUAUUAGAUACCCUGGUAGUCCACGCCGUAAACGAUGUCGACUUGGAGGUUGUGCUCUUGAGGCGUGGCUUCCGGAGCUAACGCGUUAAGUCGACCGCCUGGGGAGUACGGCCGCAAAGUUAAAACUCAAAUGAAUUGACGGGGGCCCGCACAAGCGGUGGAGCAUGUGGUUUAAUUCGAUGCAACGCGAAGAACCUUACCUACUCUUGACAUCCAGAGAACUUUCCAGAGAUGGAUUGGUGCCUUCGGGAACUCUGAGACAGGUGCUGCAUGGCUGUCGUCAGCUCGUGUUGUGAAAUGUUGGGUUAAGUCCCGCAACGAGCGCAACCCUUAUCCUUUGUUGCCAGCGGUUCGGCCGGGAACUCAAAGGAGACUGCCAGUGAUAAACUGGAGGAAGGUGGGGAUGACGUCAAGUCAUCAUGGCCCUUACGAGUAGGGCUACACACGUGCUACAAUGGCGCAUACAAAGAGAAGCGACCUCGCGAGAGCAAGCGGACCUCAUAAAGUGCGUCGUAGUCCGGAUUGGAGUCUGCAACUCGACUCCAUGAAGUCGGAAUCGCUAGUAAUCGUAGAUCAGAAUGCUACGGUGAAUACGUUCCCGGGCCUUGUACACACCGCCCGUCACACCAUGGGAGUGGGUUGCAAAAGAAGUAGGUAGCUUAACCUUCGGGAGGGCGCUUACCACUUNGUGAU